rnacentral:rRNA from 1 species
UACGUAGGGUGCGAGCGUUGUCCGGAAUUACUGGGCGUAAAGAGCUCGUAGGUGGUUUGUCGCGUUGUUCGUGAAAACUCACAACUCAAUUGUGGGCGUGCGGGCGAUACGGGCAGACUGGAGUACUGCAGGGGAGACUGGAAUUCCUGGUGUAGCGGUGGAAUGCGCAGAUAUCAGGAGGAACACCGGUGGCGAAGGCGGGUCUCUGGGCAGUAACUGACGCUGAGGAGCGAAAGCGUGGGGGGCGAACAGG